rnacentral:rRNA from 1 species
CAGUAACACGUAGUCAACCUACCCUAUGGACGAGAAUAAUCUCGGGAAACUGAGGAUAAUACUCGAUAGAUCAUAAUGCCUGGAAUGGUUUAUGGUUAAAAUGAUUUUUCGCCAUAGGAUAGGACCGCGACCUAUCAGCUUGUUGGUGAGGUAAUGGCCCACCAAGGCGAUUACAGGUACGGGCUCUGAGAGGAGAAGCCCGGAGAUGGGUACUGAGACACGGACCCAGGCCCUAUGGGGCGCAGCAGGCGAGAAAACUUUGCAAUGUGCGAAAGCACGACAAGGUUAGUCCGAGUGAUUUCUGCUAAAGAAAUCUUUUGCAAGUCAUAAAACCACUAGUGAAUAAGGGGUGGGCAAGUUCUGGUGUCAGCCGCCGCGGUAAAACCAGCACCUCAAGUGGUCAGGAGGAUUAUUGGGCCUAAAGCAUCCGUAGCCGGCUCUGUAAGUUUUCGGUUAAAUCCAUGUGCUCAACGCAUGGGCUGCCGAAAAUACUGCACAGCUAGGGAGUGGGAGAGGUAGACGGUACUCAGUAGGAAGGGGUAAAAUCCUUUGAUCUAUUGAUGACCACCUGUGGCGAAGGCGGUCUACCAGAACACGUUCGACGGUGAGGGAUGAAAGCUGGGGGAGCAAACCGGAUUAGAUACCCGGGUAGUCCCAGCUGUAAACGAUGCAGACUCGAUGAUGCAUUGGCUUAUUGCCAAUGCAGUGUCGCAGGGAAGCCGUUAAGUCUGCCGCCUGGGAAGUACGUACGCAAGUAUGAAACUUAAAGGAAUUGGCGGGGGAGCACCACAAGGGGUGAAGCCUGCGGUUCAAUUGGAGUCAACGCCAGAAAUCUUACCCGGAGAGACAGCAGAAUGAAGGUCAAGCUGAAGACUUUACCAGACAAGCUGAGAGGUGGUGCAUGGCCGUCGUCAGCUCGUGCCGUGAGAUGUCCUGUUAAGUCAGGUAACGAGCGAGAUCCCUGCCACUAGUUGCUAUUAUUAUUCUCAGGAAUAGUAGGGCGAAUUAGUGGGACCGCUGCAGUUAAUGCGGAGGAAGGAGGGGGCAACGGCAGGUCAGUAUGCCCCGAAACUCUGGGGCCACACGCGGGCUGCAAUGGUAGUGACAAUGGGUUCCUAACCUGAAAGGGAGAGGCAAUCCCCAAACGCUACCACAGUUAUGACUGAGGGCUGUAACUCGCCCUCACGAAUAUGGAAUCCC